CUCCCUGACAGACACACACUCACACACACACACUAACAGACACACACACUAACAGACACACACACACACAUACACACUAACAGACACACACUCAUUCACUAACACACACACACUAACAGACACACACUCAAUCACAUUAACACUCACUUUUGUUUUUGUUUUUAAAUUCAAACCCCAAGCCUCCUUACCUUUGGGAAUGCUGGGGGGUUCUUCCUUUACCUGGGGGUCCAG